rnacentral:misc_RNA from 1 species
GUCUGAGGUCUUCAAGAAGCAAAUUGAUAACCUGAAGACAAAUCACAGAGGCACCUUUGUGUUGCAAGACAAUCGUUUUCGUUGGCUGUCGCGAAUGUCAGUUGAUCCUUCUAUAGAAACUCUUGGUUCUAUUCAAGAUCCUUCAGCGAUGGCUGAAAACAAAGCUGCACAAGCCAUAGGAAUGCAUCUCUAUUUCCCAUGUGGAAUCAUAAGGGGAGCACUUUCAAACCUUGGAAUUCCUUGUGCAGUUUCUGCAGAUAUAUCUAAUCUUCCUGCUUGUUCAUUUGUGAUACGAAUAAAAGCAUGAUGGGCUUUUGCAAGAAGAGUGAAUUAUCCAAAUGAGCCAUUUCUGUGCUUAGUAUGUUCAACAACUCUCUCACAUGAAUGUCCUGUAUUAUGUUAUGACUCUAGACUCUAAAAGAAAGGAUUUUUUCCAGAGAAAUGGUGGUUCACAUAUGAAACAAACAUUGUAUAGGUCUUCCGAGUACAAGCUUUCUUCUUCAUGAUACAACAUACAGUCCUCUUUCUACCGAACUUGUUGAUACAAUUUAUCUUCUGGUUUCAUGAUCCAUUUCUAUAUGCUAAG